AUUGAACGCUGGCGGCGUGCUUUACACAUGCAAGUCGGACGGCAGCAUGAUCCGCAAGGGUUGAUGGCGAGUGGCGGACGGGUGAGUAAUGCAUCGGGAGUAGUCCUAUAGUGGUGGAUAACCAAUUGAAAGAUUGGCUAAUACAGCAUGAGCUCUGAGGAGGAAAGGCGGGGAUCUGAGAAGACCCGUUGCUAAAGGGUACACCGAUGUCUGAUUAGCUAGUUGGUGGGGUAAGUGCUUACCAAGGCGAUGAUCAGUAGCUGUUCUGAGAGGAAGAACAGCCAAACUGGGACUGAGACACGGGCCAGACUCCUACGGGAGGCAGCAGUGGGGAAUAUUGGACAAUGGGGGGAACCCUGAUCCAGCAACGCCGCGUGAAUGAAGAAGGCCUUAGGGUUGUAAAGUUCUUUUGUUAGGGAGCAAAGUUUGUGUGUUAAUACCAUACAGAGCUGAGAGUACCUAAAGAAUAAGCACCGGCUAACUACGUGCCAGCCGCCGCAGUAA
rnacentral:rRNA from 1 species